rnacentral:rRNA from 1 species
CCUACGGGAGGCAGCAGUGGGGAAUCUUGCACAAUGGGCGAAAGCCUGAUGCAGCCAUGCCGCGUGAAUGAUGAAGGCCUUAGGGUUGUAAAAUUCUUUCGCCAGGGAUGAUAAUGACAGUACCUGGUAAAGAAGCCCCGGCUAACUUCGUGCCAGCAGCCGCGGUAAU